UGCUGCUCCUGGACCCCAGGGGUCCUCCCGUGUCCCCAAGUCACAGCCGUGUCAGCUGACAGCCACGCGAUGAAGGCAGCUUGUGUUUGGUGAGACAGACUCAGGAGAGCAGCAGACCCAGGGGCCAUGUUUCCAUGCCUGCACUCAUCACAGACGCAUAUCAACACCGAGGAGAGUGGAGUUUCAUUUCAUAGACAAGGCAAUGGGGUUUGAACCCGUUCUGAACACCAGGUGACGCUGUUGCCAGUUCCAUGAAUGUUCAUUCUCAAUAAAAAGCCUUGGG